rnacentral:rRNA from 1 species
GACGAACGCUGGCGGCGUGCUUAACACAUGCAAGUCGAGCGGUAAGGCCCUUUCGGGGGUACGACGAGCGGCGAACGGGUGAGUAACACGUGGGUGACCUGCCCUCAGCUCUGGGAUAAGCCUGGGAAACCGGGUCUAAUACCGGAUAUGACUCCAUGACGCAUGUUGUGGGGUGGAAAGCCUUGUGCGGCUGAGGAUGGGCCCGCGGCCUAUCAGCUUGUUGGUGGGGUGAGGCCUACCAAGGCGACGACGGGUAGCCGGCCUGAGAGGGCGACCGGCCACACUGGGACUGAGACACGGCCCAGACUCCUACGGGAGGCAGCAGUGGGGAAUCUUGCGCAAUGGGCGAAAGCCUGACGCAGCGACGCCGCGUGAGGGAUGACGGCC